GAUGAACGCUGGCGGCGUGCCUAAUACAUGCAAGUCGAGCGAACGGACGAGAAGCUUGUUUCUCUGAUGUUAGCGCUGGACGGGCGAGUAACACGUGGAUAACCUAUCUAUCAGACUGGGAUAACUUCGGGAAACCGGAGCUAAUACCGGAUAAUAUUUUGAACCGCAUGGUUCAAAAGUGAAAGACGGUUUUGCUGUUACUUAUACAUAGCUCCCCGCUCCAUUAGCUUGUUGGUAAGGUAACGGCUUACCAAGGCAACGAUGCAUAGCCGACCUGAUCGCGCGAUCGGCCACACGGGACCUGAGACACGGUCCAGACUCCUACGGAAGGCGGCAGUAGGGAGUCUGCCGCAGGGGGCGAAAGCCUGGGGGAGGAACGCGACGUGAAUGAUGUGGGUCUUCGGAUCGUAAAGCUCUGUAAUUAGGAAAGAACAUAUGUGUAAGUGACUGUGGACAUCCUGAGGGUACCUAAUCAGAAAGCCACGGCUAACUACGU
rnacentral:rRNA from 1 species